AGAGUUUGAUCAUGGCUCAGGACGAACGCUGGCGGCGUGCUUAACACAUGCAAGUCGAACGAGGUGCUUGCACCUAGUGGCGAACGGGUGAGUAACACGUGCGCAACCUGCCCUUGGCUCUGGGAUAGCCUCCGGAAACGGGGAUUAAUACCGGACAUGACCUGCUCCUGCAUGGGGGCGGGUGGAAAGUUUUUCGGCCAGGGAGGGGCUCGCGGCCUAUCAGCUUGUUGGGGGGGUAACGGCCCACCAAGGCGACGACGGGUAGCCGGCCUGAGAGGGCGACCGGCCACACUGGGACUGAGACACGGCCCAGACUCCUACGGGAGGCAGCAGUGGGGAAUAUUGCACAAUGGGGGAAACCCUGAUGCAGCGACGCCGCGUGCGGGAUGAAGGCCUUCGGGUUGUAAACCGCUUUCAGCAGGGACGAAGCGAGAGUGACGGUACCUGCAGAAGAAGCGCCGGCUAACUACGUGCCAGCAGCCGCGGUAAUACGUAGGGCGCAAGCGUUGUCCGGAAUUAUUGGGCGUAAAGAGCUCGUAGGCGGCCUGUUGCGUCUGCUGUGAAAUCCCGGGGCUUAACCCCGGGCCUGCAGUGGAUACGGGCAGGCUGGAGGCAGGCAGGGGAGAACGGAAUUCCCGGUGUAGCGGUGAAAUGCGCAGAUAUCGGGAGGAACACCGGUGGCGAAGGCGGUUCUCUGGGCCUGUACUGACGCUGAGGAGCGAAAGCGUGGGGAGCGAACAGGAUUAGAUACCCUAGUAGUCC
rnacentral:rRNA from 1 species